rnacentral:rRNA from 1 species
CCUACGGGUGGCAGCAGUGGGGAAUAUUGGACAAUGGGCGAAAGCCUGAUCCAGCCAUGCCGCGUGUGUGAAGAAGGCCUUCGGGUUGUAAAGCACUUUCAGUGGGGAAGAAAGCCUUGGGGCUAAUACCCUCGAGGAAGGACAUCACCCACAGAAGAAGCACCGGCUAACUCCGUGCCAGCAGCCGCGGUAAUACGGAGGGUGCGAGCGGUAAUCGGAAUUACUGGGCGGAAAGCGCGCGUAGGCGGUCUGAUAAGCCGGUUGUGAAAGCCCCGGGCUCAACCUGGGAACGGCAUCCGGAACUGUCAGGCUAGAGUGCAGGAGAGGAAGGUAGAAUUCCCGGUGUAGCGGUGAAAUGCGUAGAGAGCGGGAGGAAUACCAGUGGCGAAGGCGGCCUUCUGGACUGACACUGACGCUGAGGUGCGAAAGCGUGGGUAGCAAACAGGAUUAGAUACCCUGGUAGUC